rnacentral:miRNA from 1 species
UUUGCAAAAAGUUCUUAGGGCGUCACUGAAGUUUGCAAAUUACUGAACUUUAAUUUGCAAACUUCAGUGACGCCCUAGGAACUUUUGAAA